GACGAACGCUGGCGGCGCGCUUAACACAUGCAAGUCGAGCGAGAACCGAGGCUUCGGCUCCGGGGACAGCGGCGAACGGGUGAGUAACACGUGGGUAACCUGCCCUCGGCACCGGGAUAGCCCGGGGAAACCCGGAUUAAUACCGGACGGUCUCCGAAGCCUGCGGGCGUCGGAGAAAAGGUAGCUUCGGCCUCCGGCCGGGGAGGGCCUGCGGCGGAUUAGCUUGUUGGCGGGGUAACGGCCCACCAAGGCGA
rnacentral:rRNA from 1 species